AAGGCUCUAGAAAUGCCCUCCAACGGACGUUACGACGAAGUCUCGGUUUUCUUGGUCCAAACGAUGCUCAAUCGGCCUUAGUUUGCCGAUAGCUCUUGACCCACUCAACGAAUAUCAAAUCCGACUUCGCCCCCGCGUUUAGGCACCUAGCAAUUAGGUUAGAGGAGGGUCAAAUGAGAUCGAUCCUCUACUUUUCCAAAAACCCCAUUUUGGUGCCCUAGGGUUAGCAUCAAGCUAAACCCAUCUCAAAACCCUAGAUUCUAGCUCCAAUCUCACCAUUCAUGGUGCUAGGGAUCCAUUUGAUCCCAUCCAAAGAGCUAAAACCCAAAAACCCUAAAUUCCACAACUAGGGUUAGAAGCCUACCUCUUGUUGUAGCUUCAAAGAGAGAAGAGAGGAAGAGGAAGAGGUCCAAAAGCUUCCCAAGCUUGAUCUCUUUCUUC
rnacentral:lncRNA from 1 species